AGUGAACGCUGGCGGUAGGCCUAACACAUGCAAGUCGAACGGCAGCACAGUAAGAGCUUGCUCUUACGGGUGGCGAGUGGCGGACGGGUGAGGAAUACAUCGGAAUCUACUUUUUCGUGGGGGAUAACGUAGGGAAACUUACGCUAAUACCGCAUACGACCUACGGGUGAAAGCAGGGGAUCUUCGGACCUUGCGCGAUUGAAUGAGCCGAUGUCGGAUUAGCUAGUUGGCGGGGUAAAGGCCCACCAAGGCGACGAUCCGUAGCUGGUCUGAGAGGAUGGUCCGCCACACUGGAACUGGAGAACGGUCCAGGCUCCUUCGGGGAGGCGCAGUGGGGAAUAUUGGACAAUGGGGGGAAACCCUGUCCAAGCAUACCGCGUGGGUGGAAGAGGCCUUCCGGUUGUAAAACCCUUUUGGUGGGAAAGAAAAGGAGCAGGUUAAUACCCCGCUGUUCUGACGGUACCCAAAGAAUAAGCACCGGCUAACUUCGUG
rnacentral:rRNA from 1 species